CCAACCACGCUUGGAAGCACCUCAUAUAUAGACGUGCAUUUUGAACGACGGAGGUGCACGAGGCCAUGUGACCUAGUAUUUGUAGGCAGUCCCGGACAGUCACCUGGGGACUGUUGCGAAUCCUUGUGGCUAGUUGACUUAUAGAAUUGAAGCGAGCUGGUGGGAGAGAUGCCAACCCCGUCCGGGAGUCGAGGUAUGCCCCUAUGAACUCCAGAUGUUGGGUGGGGUAUAAUGUGGAUUUGUUUUUGUUUACUUGCAGGCCUAAAGAUAGGAAACAAUCGAUGGUAAGCCGUAUGGAUCGGAGAGCUUCGUCGAACGUUGAAGCUUUGAGGAGGCAAUCGUCUAGGUGGCUGGAGGCCUAGGGACCGGAGGGUUGCUCUUGCGUCCUUCAUCGAAUGCAGCAUGUCGUUUGUGGUGGAGGCAAAAAGUUUUUCCCCAUCGAAGGGAAGAUCUUCAAUGGUGCUCUGGACCUCUCGAGGGAAGAAGGAGGAAGAGAGCCAUGAACCUCGUCGCAUGACCACUGCUGUGGCGGUCGACCUUGCUGCAGUGUUAGCUACAUCGAGGGCCGCUUGGAGAGCGGUGCGUGAUAUGGUUUGUCCCUCGGAAACCAGAGCUGUGAAUUGUUGUUUCUUCUGUUCUGGGAUGUGAUCAAUAAAAUCCAUGAAUUUA